CAGACUCUAUGCAAAGCGCCCCACGAUGCGCGUGCUGCUGAGAGCACAUGGAGGAGAGAGGAGGACGGACACUUAGCAGCCUGGCUAAUGUAGCCUGUGGGGUCGCAAAAUAUUUGUAAAGACAUUUAUUUGGAAAUGAACAACACUUCAGGUAUGGAACUCGGACUGGGUUGCCUAAGGCGUCCAACGUGGAUGAAAGAAAAAUAUUGAGGAUGUGAGCAGUCCCUUCACCUUUAAGAGUUAUCUUCAAAAUGGAGCUUGUUCUUUGUCCUAAGUUUCAGUCUGAGCGCGAGAGGUCCUGCUGCACUCAACUGCCGGCAUUUACACUCCGUCCUCUCUCACGGCACACCUUCCUGUGGAGAUUGGCUCACUUCGAUUCCUCUAAGAUGAAUGUCUCUUUGAACCUCUUGUGGCAUUUGAGUGAACUGCAGUUACCGGUUCCAGCUCUGUGGUGAUUCAUCGAAUGGGAACUUCAGAGGAAUUUGCUGCAUCACAGACCAAAUCUGUUCAGGUUUUCAUGUGUACACAACAUUCCUUUGAUGUGACCAACAAGAGUAUAUGAAUGAUGUCUCUUGAGAGAGAUCUGUUUACUGGUUCUCAAUUACUUUUGGUCUUUCUGUUUAUCCAUCAUCUUAGGCUCACUUUCACAGUCUCUCCACCACUGUUGUUUCAUACAGCGAUUUGUAUGAAUAAUUUAUGCCACAUUGCUUCGCCGUCAUUAAAGGUGACCUUGGUUAAUUAUUGAUCAGGUCAGAUGAUUACAGUCCUGACCUCUAGGUUCUCGUCUACCGCUCGGCUCAGUUUUCAUGUUACGCUCUACGGGGGGGGGGGGGGGGGGGGGGGUGUGUAAAAUUACAGAUAAUCCCAACGCCAAGACUAUUACUUUGUUUUAAUGAAAUAUGUAAGAGGUAAUGUAUAGUCAGUUAGUCAUCACUGAAUAAACCUUGACAGGGUGAUCAGGUUGAGCCCCUGAAGGGGUUUAUUUGUUUUUUGUUACAUUGAUCGUCUGACUAUUACCCUGAUACUUGUCAAAUAAAUACAUAAAUGGACAUGAAAUAUUGUUUUUUGUUAUGUUUUUAUCUGAGAAGAGAGCAUGUGAUUGACGGAGUAUAACAAGGAAAUAAUAAUACAGUUUAGCAGCUAUUAUUUAAAAAAAAAAUGCUGUUUUCAACAUUAAUCAAUUAUUUCUGAAGGAUCAUGUGACGCUUAAUAUUGGAGUAAUGCCUGCAGAAAAUUCAACACUGCCAUCACAAAGGAAUAAAUUCCAUUUUACAAUAUAUUAAAAAUU